UUUUAUCAUCUUUUAUAUCCUUGCCUCUUGCUUACAUGUUUAUUUUCAAGGAUGCAGUCUUGUAUACUCCUAUAAUUUGCUAUUUUUCUCUUUUGAUCACAAAAUUAAGGACUACAAUAAUGCAGUAUUUAACUUGUCAUCGUCUGUUUUCCUUGUUGGUUUCAAAGGACCUUCAGACAAUCUUCCAUGUCAGUCUGUCAGGCAGUCAAUAAAGAGAAGCUAGAGAGUAAAAUAAAAUUAACAACAACAACAUUCAUCGCCAAUACCUUUGGUGUGAUGAUACAGUGGUUAGAAUGAAUUCGAAACCCAAGUCAAUAACAAAUUUCUGUGAAUGUCCGGAAGUGAUUCAUUCAACGAAAUUCCCAAGAAGAAAACUAACAUAAGACCCUUAGAAAACUUACAUAGAACUCUUUGUGAGAAGGCCAUGAACAUUUCACUAAGGAUGCCCCUUCUCACCUAUCAAUGAGUGCAGUUCGAUUCAGGUUUAAGCUCAAUGAUAAGGGGCCUCCUUCUUAUAGCCGAGUCCGAACGCCGUGCCGCAGUGCGACACCUCUUUGGAGAGAAGUUUUACAUGACAUGUGAGAAGGCAACUCUCUAUAUUAAGUUGAGAUAUCGGUUUGAAAGGCUUUUUCUUUGCUCUAUAUGCCAUGGCCAUGUCGUUGUUGUCAUCCGUUCUCUACUGCUGCUUGAUGUCGACAAGGAGGAUUUUUAAAUUAACAUAAAUUUCAAAAACUACAACGUCUCUGGCAAAAGUAGUUGCAAACUUGCAAAUAUCAAGCAAAAAAAUGAAAAAAAAACGCAUAAAAACAAAGGCCAAGACAAAUUUAUUUGCCCAACUAUGUUUGAAUUGCAGCUGUAUGAAGUAGCUGCAACUGUUCCGGAUAAUGUCGUUGCUUGUUGUCGGAGCGCAACUUAAAGCGACAUCCGCAGAGCAGCAUCCGUUUUAGCAUCUAAUUUUAGAGUGUGACAUCAAAAAGUUUUGCUAUACCCUUUUGCGGAAAGUUUCUUUUUUUUUAGCGCUUUACGCUGUAGUCUGCCGUCGCCUAGGCCUUCUUUCAGAACUUGUUUCCCCUGUACGUUUAUGGAAAACGACUGCCAUUUGAUGUAGAGUGGAAAGAAAAACUUAAAAAUGUCUUAAAACUACAAUGAAAUAAAAAGAAACGAAAUGAGGCUCUCUAAUGGUUGUCUAAUCCGCAUUAGCUAUUACGCUACGUUAGGCAUACUUCGACUGAGACUUGGAAAAGUCUAAGUAGUUUUAAAGGAAAUUGUAGAAGCCUAUGAAAUCCAUAUAAGAUCUGUAAAGGAAAUCUGCUCCAUUAAGUUUAGUUAAUACCGGUGACAAAAUUUGAAUUCUCUUAAAGACUUAAACAUGGGAAAAUUGGUUUUCAUACUGUUCCCAUCUAUUAUAUUAGUGAAAUAACAAAA